UCACAAUGGUGGCACUCUGCCAAUGGA
rnacentral:sRNA from 1 species